GUGCUCGCUUCAGCAGCCCAUAUGCUAAAAUUGGAACGAUACAGAGAAGAUGAGCACGGCCCGGUGCACGGAUGACACGCCAAUUCACGAAGCGGUCCAUGUUUAA
ensembl:snRNA U6 U6 spliceosomal RNA